UACGUAGGUGGCAAGCGUUGUCCGGAUUUACUGGGCGUAAAGCGCGCGCAGGCGGAUCGUUAAGUAGAAAGUGAAAGGUUGGGGCUUAACCCCAACAUUGCUUCCUAUACUGGCGAUCUUGAGUCCCGGAGGGGAAAGCGGAACGACACGUGUAGCGGUGAAAUGCGUUGAUAUGUGUCGGAACACCAAUGGCGAAGGCAGCUUUCUGGACGGGAACUGACGCUCAGGCGCGAAAGCCGAGGUAGCGAACAGG
rnacentral:rRNA from 1 species